rnacentral:pre_miRNA from 1 species
AAAGUAUUCCCUCCGUUCGAAAAUACAUGUCAUUAAAAAUAAAUAAAAAGGAUGUAUUUAAAUGUAUUUUAAUUUUAGAUAUAUUUCUUUUUAUUCAUUUUAAUAACAAUUACUUUCAGACGGAGAGAGUAUAUC